rnacentral:rRNA from 1 species
GGGCCCGCACAAGCGGUGGAGCAUGUGGCUUAAUUCGAGGCAACGCGAAGAACCUUACCUGGUCUUGACAUGCCCGUCAUAGUUUUCCGAAAGGAAUUCGUCAGUUCGGCUGGACGGUGCACAGGUGCUGCAUGGCUGUCGUCAGCUCGUGUCGUGAGAUGUUCGGUUAAGUCCGGCAACGAGCGCAACCCUCGUUCCUAGUUGCCAGCGGGUAAUGCCGGGGACUCUAGGAAGACAAACCUCGUGUAGAGGUGGGAAGGUGGGGACGACGUCAAGUCAGUAUGGCCCUUACGACCAGGGCUGCACACGUGCUACAAUGCCCGGUACAAUGGGAUGCAAUACCGCGAGGUUGAGCCAAUCCAUAAAACCGGGCCCAGUUCGGAUUGGAGUCUGCAACUCGACUCCAUGAAGUUGGAAUCGCUAGUAAUGGCGUAU